GACGAACGCUGGCGGCGUGCCUAAUACAUGCAAGUAGAACGCAGUUGCGAACGGGUGAGUAACGCGUAGGUAACUGCCUCAUAGCGGGGGAUAACUAUUGGAAACGAUAGCUAAUACCGCAUACUGUGAGAUGGACCUGCGUUGUAUUAGCUAGUUGGUGAGGUAAAGGAUCACCAAGGCGACGAUACAUAGCCGACCUGGGAGGGUUGUCGGCCACACCGGGACUGGGAAACGGCCCAGACUCCUACCGGAGGGAGCAGUAGGGAAACUUCGGCAAUGGGCGGAAAUCUGGCCACGCAACGCCGCGUGAGUGAAGAAGGUUUUCGGGUCGUUAAGCUCUGUUGUUCGAGAAGCGGUAACUACCCAGAAAGGGACGGCUAACUACGUGCCAGCAGCCGCGGUAAUUC
rnacentral:rRNA from 1 species